rnacentral:rRNA from 1 species
GAUGAACGCUGGCGGCGUGCCUAAUACAUGCAAGUCGAGCGAACAGACGAGGAGCUUGCUCCUCUGACGUUAGCGGCGGACGGGUGAGUAACACGUGGAUAACCUACCUAUAAGACUGGGAUAACUUCGGGAAACCGGAGCUAAUACCGGAUAAUAUAUUGAACCGCAUGGUUCAAUAGUGAAAGACGGUUUUGCUGUCACGUAUAGAUGGAUCCGCGCCGCAUUAGCUAGUUGGUAAGGUAACGGCUUACCAAGGCGACGAUGCGUAGCCGACCUGAGAGGGUGAUCGGCCACACUGGAACUGAGACACGGUCCAGACUCCUACGGGAGGCAGCAGUAGGGAAUCUUCCGCAAUGGGCGAAAGCCUGACGGAGCAACGCCGCGUGAGUGAUGAAGGUCUUCGGAUCGUAAACCGCUGUUAUUAGGGAAGAACAAAUGUGUAAUUAACCAUGCACGUCUUGACGGUACCUAAUGAGAAAGCCCCGGCUAACUACGUG